UACGAGGGAUGCAAGCGUUAUCCGGGAUUAUUGGGCGUAAAGCGUUUGUAGGCGGGCGAGUGUGUUUAAUGUUAAAUCUUAAAGCUCAACUUUGAAAUUGCGUUAAAAACUGCUUGUCUUGAGUAUGGUAGGGGUAAAGGGAAUUCCCAGUGUAGCGGCGAAAUGCGUAGAUAUUGGGAAGAACACUAAACAGCGAAGGCACUUUACUAGGCUAAUACUGACGCUGAGAAACGAAAGGUAAGGUAGCGAAACGGAUUAGAUACCCGUGUAGUCUUACCCGUAAACUAUGGACACUAAACGGUAAAUUUUUAAUUUACUGUUAAAGCUAACGCGUUAAGUGUCCCGCCUGGGGAGUAUGCUUGCAAAAGUGAAACUCAAAGGAAUUGACGGGGGCCCGCACAAGCGGUGGAGCAUGUGGUUUAAUUCGACGGUACACGAAGAACCUUACCAGGAUUUGACAUGCUAGAUAGUUGCUUGAAAGAGUAACGUGCCGUAAGGAAUCUAGACACAGGUGGUGCAUGGCUGUCGUCAGUUCGUGUUGUGAAAUGUUGGGUUAAGUCCCGCAACGGACGCAACCCUUGUCUUUAGUUAUUUUCUAAAGAGACUGCCUGUAAUAAACAGGAGGAAGGUAAGGAUGAGGUCAAGUCAUCAUGCCCCUUAUGUCCUGGGCUACACACGUGCUACAAUGGGAAAGACAAUGAGCUGCAAAUCUGUAAAUUUAAGCAAAUCUCUUAAACUUUCUCGUAGUUCGGAUUGUGGGCUGCAACUCGCCCACAUGAAGUUGGAAUCGCUAGUAAUCGCCAGUCAGCUAUAUGGCGGUGAAUCCGUUCCCGGGCCU
rnacentral:rRNA from 1 species